UACGUAGGGUGCGAGCGUUGUCCGGAAUUAUUGGGCGUAAAGAGCUUGUAGGCGGUCUGUCGCGUCUGCUGUGAAAAUCCGGGGCUCAACCCCGGACUUGCAGUGGGUACGGGCAGACUAGAGUGUGGUAGGGGAGACUGGAAUUCCAGGUGUAGCGGUGAAAUGCGUAGAUAUCUGGAGGAACACCGGUGGCGAAGGCGGCAUCCUGGACCAAUAUUGACGCUGAGGAGCGAAAGCCAGGGGAGCAAACGGG
rnacentral:rRNA from 1 species